GAUGAACGCUGGCGGCGUGCCUAAUACAUGCAAGUCGAACGAAACUUCUUUAUCACCGAGUGCUUGCACUCACCGAUAAAGAGUUGAGUGGCGAACGGGUGAGUAACACGUGGGCAACCUGCCCAAAAGAGGGGGAUAACACUUGGAAACAGGUGCUAAUACCGCAUAACCAUAGUUACCGCAUGGUAACUAUGUAAAAGGUGGCUAUACUACCGCUUCUGGAUGGUCCCGCGGCGCAUUAGCUAGUUGGUAGGGUAAAGGCUUACCAAGGCAAUGAUGCGUAGCCGAAUUGAGAGGUUGAUCGGCCACAUUGGGACUGAGACACGGCCCAAACUCCUACGGGAGGCAGCAGUAGGGAAUCUUCCACAAUGGGCGAAAGCCUGAUGGAGCAACGCCGCGUGGGUGAAGAAGGUCUUCGGAUCGUAAAACCCUGUUGUUAGAGAAGAAAGUGCGUGAGAGUAACUGUUCACGUUUCGACGGUAUCUAACCAGAAAGCCACGGCUAACUACGUG
rnacentral:rRNA from 1 species